UCUCUGACAUUUGGCAAAGGGAGAAGGUCCAACCUGUGCAGGGCAUUAUGGAAUAUCCUCAUUAGAGAACCUAAAGAGUCAAUUUUCAGUUUUUCAGUUAUAAGGAACAUAUGGAAUCCACUGACUUCAGGAAAUAUUUUCAGAGUGCACACAUAUUUCUUCAAGACGUUAACAUCCCAGGGGAGAAGGAGGAAUAAAAACAUGACAGGGAGUAAUUUAAAAUGGCAGGUACUGCAGUUUUCUUUUCCUGUGCUGGAAACCUGAU
rnacentral:lncRNA from 1 species